rnacentral:rRNA from 1 species
CUGGGGCUGUAGUAGGUCCCAAGGGUUGGGCUGUUCGCCCAUUAAAGUGGUACGCGAGCUGGGUUCAGAACGUCGUGAGACAGUUCGGUCCCUAUCCGUCGCAGGCGUAGGAAAUUUGAGAAGACCUGUCCUUAGUACGAGAGGACCGGGAUGGACGUACCUCUGGUGUACCAGUUGUUCUGCCAAGGGCAUGGCUGGGUAGCUAUGUACGGAAUGGAUAAGCGCUGAAAGCAUCUAAGCGCGAAGCCAACUUCAAGAUAAGAUUUCCCACCGCAAGGGUAAGACCCCAGAAAGACUAUCUGGUUGAUAGGUCGAAGGUGUAAGUGCAGCAAUGUAUUUAGCUUAUCGAUACUAAUAGGUCGAGGACUUGACCAA